AGUGAACGCUGGCGGCAGGCCUAACACAUGCAAGUCGAACGGCAGCACGGGGGCAACCCUGGUGGCGAGUGGCGGACGGGUGAGUAAAGCAUCGGAACGUAUCCUGGAGUGGGGGAUAACGUAGCGAAAGUUACGCUAAUACCGCAUAUUCUGUGAGCAGGAAAGCAGGGGAUCGCAAGACCUUGCGCUCUGGGAGCGGCCGAUGUCGGAUUAGCUAGUUGGUGGGGUAAAGGCCUACCAAGGCGACGAUCCGUAGCGGGUCUGAGAGGAUGAUCCGCCACACUGGAACUGAGACACGGUCCAGACUCCUACGGGAGGCAGCAGUGGGGAAUUUUGGACAAUGGGGGCAACCCUGAUCCAGCCAUGCCGCGUGAGUGAAGAAGGCC
rnacentral:rRNA from 1 species